UACCAGCUCUCCGAGUGGUAGGGAUGAUUAUUGGGCUUAAAGCGUUCGUAGCCGGCUUAGCAAGUUUCCUGUUAAAUUCAGCGACCUAAUCGUUGAGCCGCGGGAGAUACUACUAGGCUAGGAGGCGGGAGAGGUCAACGGUACUUCCGGGGUAGGGGUGAAAUCCUAUAAUCCCGGGAGGACCACCAGUGGCGAAGGCUGUUGACUAGAACGCGCUCGACGGUGAGGGACGAAAGCUGGGGGAGCGAACCGGAUUAGAUACCCGGGUAGUCCCAGCUGUAAACGAUGCGAGCUAGGUAUUGGGGUGGCUACGUGCCACUUCAGUGCCGCAGGGAAGCCAUUAAGCUCGCCGCCUGGGGAGUACGGCCGCAAGGCUGAAACUUAAAGGAAUUGGCGGGGAGCACCACAAGGCGUGAAGCUUGCGGUUC
rnacentral:rRNA from 1 species